UCAUGCUCUGUUUCCAUCUGUCAAAAAGAAAAUAAACAUUAAAAAAUUUAAAAAAUAAAGAAAGAACAUGGAGUACCCAAGAAAUUUGAUCCUGAUAUACCUAGACUAAGGCAACAGGACCUGGAUUUUUCCUUGUAGUUACAUAGAGUUGAAACCGAAAUUAUAAGUUCUAAACUUCUCUGAAUAUUACAUUUGCUGUCUGUGGAACAAUUAUAUAAGACUCAGAAUCUGGCCAACCCCAGAGUUUGAGAUGAAGAGGAUAAGAGUGCAUAUUUGAAUACGUGUUACACCUUACAGGUUAAAAGGUAAGGCAAGUACAAGGUCUGUCAAAACUGCUUUUUUCCAUUUUGAGCACAUAUGAGCCCAUACUAUGCUCUAAACACUUUGUAAGGCCCUCUUGGGUAUAACAGAUAAAUUUCAGACCAUUUGCCUCUCAGUAACUUAAAAUGUAGUAUAUAAAGGGCAGGAAAUUUUGUUUGUUUUUAUCUCCUGGUGACAUUUAAUAUAUUUUAAGUGCAUGGUAAGCCUAUAAUUCUGGAUGUUACUAACUUGAAACUUUCUCUUCCCUGCAAUUCUAGGUUGACUACUUCUAUUCUGAUAAGGCCACUUUAAGUCUAGUGGGCGAUUACUUUGAGGUGAACACCCCUACUUUAACUCCAGGCCUUAUUUGGUCUCUAUUGGGGAGAGAUUUGUCUAAAUCCUCAUUUUUGACCCUAAUUCUAACCUGAUUCAGUUUCAGACUCCAGGUCUUCAUAUCAAGGACUUGAUCUAAUGGCAAAAACUGGUCUAUUGAAAUGAGAAGCAGUGGAGGACUCUCUGGACAAAUGAAAGAAGAGUGAAUCCUUUUUGCUAGUUUUUAGAUUUUCCUUUCUUGGAAAUCGUACUUUAAACUUUUUACAUUUAUAAGGAAUGUAUUGAUUUGCAUUUGCUGUACCCUGGAUCCAUACAUAGGAUACCAAAUAAAGACAUUGUCAUUGUUUCUCUUGCA